AUUGAACGCUGGCGGCAGGCCUAACACAUGCAAGUCGAGCGAGCGGCGGACGGGUGAGUAAUGUAUGGGGACUGCCCGAUAGAGGGGGAUAACUACCGGAAACGGUAGCUAAUACCCCAUAUUAUCGGAUCACCCAUUUGGGAUGAGCUAGUGGGUGAGGUAACGGCUCACCUAGGCGACGAUGCCUAGCUGGCCGGAGAGGGUGUUCAGCCAGACUGGGACGGAGACACGGCCCAGACGCCUACGGAGGCAGCAGUGGGGAAUAUUGCGCAAUGGGCGCAAGCCUGAAGGAGCCAUGCCGAGUGUGUGAAGAAGGCCUUAGGGUUGUAAAGCGCUUUCAUCAGGGAGGCGUUACCCGCAGAGGAAGCACCGGAUAACUCCGGGCCAGCAGCCGCGGUAAUAC
rnacentral:rRNA from 1 species